rnacentral:rRNA from 1 species
UAGGGAAUCUUCGGCAAUGGGGGCAACCCUGACCGAGCAACGCAGCGUGAGUGAAGAAGGUUUUCGGAUCGUAAAGCUCUGUUGUAAGAGAAGAACGUGUGUGAGAGUGGAAAGUUCACACAGUGACGGUAACUUACCAGAAAGGGACGGCUAACUACGUGCCAGCAGCCGCGGUAAUACGUAGGUCCCGAGCGUUGUCCGGAUUUAUUGGGCGUAAAGCGAGCGCAGGCGGUUUAAUAAGUCUGAAGUUAAAGGCAGUGGCUUAACCAUUGUUCGCUUUGGAAACUGUUAAACUUGAGUGCAGAAGGGGAGAGUGGAAUUCCAUGUGUAGCGGUGAAAUGCGUAGAUAUAUGGAGGAACACCGGUGGCGAAAGCGGCUCUCUGGUCUGUAACUGACGCUGAGGCUCGAAAGCGUGGGGAGCAAACAGG